rnacentral:rRNA from 1 species
GAUGAACGCUAGCGGCAGGCCUAAUACAUGCAAGUCAAGGGGAUAGCAAUAUCACCGGCGGACGGGUGCGUAACGCGUACACAACGUGCCCAAGGGCGGAGGAAAGCGGCGGGAAACUGCCGGUAAUACUCCAUGGUGUUGUUGAGUGGCAUCACUUAACAACUAAAGUACAAGCGCCCUUGGAUCGGUGUGCGUUCGAUUAGCUAGUUGGCGGGGUAACGGCCCACCAAGGCUUCGAUCGAUAGGGGGUGUGAGAGCAUGACCCCCCACACGGUACGUGAGACACGGACCGACUCCUACGGGAGGCAGCAGUAAGGAA